CAGUCGAACGAUGAUGCCCAGCUUGCUGGGUGGAUUAGUGGCGAACGGGUGAGUAACACGUGAGUAACCUGCCCCUGACUCUGGGAUAAGCGUUGGAAACGACGUCUAAUACUGGAUAUGAUCACUGGCCGCAUGGUCUGGUGGUGGAAAGAUUUUUUGGUUGGGGAUGGACUCGCGGCCUAUCAGCUUGUUGGUGAGGUAAUGGCUCACCAAGGCGACGACGGGUAGCCGGCCUGAGAGGGUGACCGGCCACACUGGGACUGAGACACGGCCCAGACUCCUACGGGAGGCAGCAGUGGGGAAUAUUGCACAAUGGGCGAAAGCCUGAUGCAGCAACGCCGCGUGAGGGAUGACGGCCUUCGGGUUGUAAACCUCUUUUAGUAGGGAAGAAGCGAGAGUGACGGUACCUGCAGAAAAAGCACCGGCUAACUACGUGCCAGCAGCCGCGGUAAUACGUAGGGUGCAAGCGUUGUCCGGAAUUAUUGGGCGUAAAGAGCUCGUAGGCGGUUUGUCGCGUCUGCUGUGAAAUCCCGAGGCUCAACCUCGGGCUUGCAGUGGGUACGGGCAGACUAGAGUGCGGUAGGGGAGAUUGGAAUUCCUGGUGUAGCGGUGGAAUGCGCAGAUAUCAGGAGGAACACCGAUGGCGAAGGCAGAUCUCUGGGCCGUAACUGACGCUGAGGAGCGAAAGCAUGGGGAGCGA
rnacentral:rRNA from 2 species